ensembl:lincRNA
UGCGAGAAGGUUGCUUCAAGGGCCUCUCCCGCGUGCCUGGCGCCCACCUUUGGCCCUGAGGGUCGAGUGGGGAGCCCCACGACCCUCUUACAGCCUUCCAGAUGCACGGACUGGGAAACUGGGGCUCAGAGAGGUCAAGUGGCUCGCCCAAGGUCACCCAGCGAGUGAUCCUGGGAAGAGGGGACAAGGGUCGAGCUGGAGCUGGGAAGGGCGCCCCAGUUCGCCCCAGCCGCGCUCUGAGGAAAAGCAGCGGGACCGUCCUGCUCUCUAAAGCUCCGUGGACUUCUUUAAGUUAUGUCGCGUUGCUGUCCCCUCGUAUUUACAAGAGAGUAAGGCAGGGGCGCCGUACUUUCUCCUCUCCUGAGCUCAGAGGGCCAACCUCCUGCGAUCCGCCAGCUCAGAGUCUCAACUUGCAAGAAGCAGAAAAAUGA